GAUGAACGCUGGCGGCGUGCCUAAUACAUGCAAGUCGAGCGAACAGACGAGGAGCUUGCUCCUCUGACGUUAGCGGCGGACGGGUGAGUAACACGUGGAUAACCUACCUAUAAGACUGGGAUAACUUCGGGAAACCGGAGCUAAUACGGGAUAAUAUAUUGAACCGCAUGGUUCAAUAGUGAAAGACGGUUUUGCUGUCACUUAUAGAUGGAUCCGCGCCGCACUAGCUAGUUGGUAAGGUAACGGCUUACCAAGGCAACGAUGCGUAGCCGACCGGAGAGGGGGAUCGGCCACACUGGAACGUAGACACGGUCCAGACUCCUACGGGAGGCAGCAGUAGGGAAUCUUCCGCAAUGGGCGAAAGCUUGACGGAGCAACGCGGCGUGAGUGAUGAAGGUCUUCGGAUCGUAAAACUCUGUUAUUAGGGAAGAACAAAUGUGUAAGUAACUAUGCACGUCUUGACGGUACCUAAUCAGAAAGCCACGGCUAACUACGUG
rnacentral:rRNA from 1 species